CAAACCUCGCCCCACACCUCCAACACGUGACACCCCGCGCGGCACCUCCGCCUCCCCACCCUCGCUCCCUCUCACCGCCCGCCACCGCCGAGAUGGUCUGCUCCCAGCUCACCGCCGCGGGGGCCUCCUCCCUCGCCACCGCAGCGGUUCGUUCCCGGGCGCAUUCCCCAGCCGCCGCCUUCGCGCAACUACGGUCGACGCCUCGCAUUGCGAGCGCUGGCUUGUCGGUUAAGGGAAACAGGGCGGCUCUUCCGUUGGUCGCCGCCGCGGGGCCGGCCGCGGCGGCGCCGGUGGCCGACCUGGACGGCCCCCCGGCCACGGAGAAGCAGCCCAUCAUUGUCAUCGAUAACUACGACAGCUUCACCUACAACCUCUGCCAGUAUAUGGGGGAGCUUGGAUUGAACUUUGAAGUAUACCGCAAUGAUGAACUGACCAUAGAAGAUGUAAAGAGGAAGAACCCAAGAGGAAUACUUAUUUCUCCAGGGCCUGGUGAACCACAAGAUUCAGGAAUAUCAUUGCAGGCUGUUCUUGAAUUAGGCCCAACCAUCCCAAUUUUUGGAGUUUGCAUGGGCCUGCAGUGCAUUGGGGAGGCAUUUGGGGGAAAGAUUAUCCGUGCUCCUUCUGGAGUGAUGCAUGGGAAAAGCUCUCCAGUUUAUUACGACGAGGAAUUAGGAAAGGCCUUAUUCAAUGGCUUGCCAAAGUCAUUCUGCUUUUAUUGAUAAGUCAUUCAGCCAUCCCUUUUACCGCUGCGAGGUACCACAGCUUGGUCAUUGAGGAAGAAACCUUCCCGCAUGAUGCUUUAGAGGCCACUGCAUGGACUGAAGAUGGACUUAUCAUGGCUGCUCGCCACAAGAAGUACAAACACAUCCAGGGUGUCCAAUUCCACCCGGAGAGCAUCAUCACCCCUGACGGCAAGAAAAUCAUCCUCAAUUUCGUCAGAUUCAUUGAGGAACUGGAGAAGCAGCGUUCCUAGGGAGGUAGAUGCCACCGGUGGCUUCAUAGAUCAGUCAGAAGCAGAGACAAAGGCGCUUGAAGCUGCGUAGUACCGGGUCUGGCAGUGGAAGUUAGCUAGGAAACAGCCUUUUUCCUCCCUUAAUUCGUUGUGCUCGUGGUAAUAUAAUCUGUGUGGACUGAAUUUCGAAUAAAGUCCAGCUGUUCAAAUAAUCACUGGUGUUAGUGCUCUCUAGAUGAAUAUAUAUCCGGUAAUUUUCGGCAAGGGAA